ACCGCNUUGCGGCGUGCCUAACACAUGCAAGUCGAGCGAAGUUUAUUAAAGGAAGUUUUCGGAUGGAAUUUAAUAAACUUAGCGGCGGACGGGUGAGUAACGCGUGGGCAACCUGCCCUGUACAGAGGGACAACAACGGGAAACCGUUGCUAAUACCUCAUAAAACCCUAAAGGGGCAUCCCUUAUGGGUCAAAGAAUUUCGGUACAGGAUGGGCCCGCGUCUGAUUAGCUAGUUGGUGAGGUAAUGGCUCACCAAGGCGACGAUCAGUAGCCGACCUGAGAGGGUGAUCGGCCACACUGGAACUGAGACACGGUCCAGACUCCUACGGGAGGCAGCAGUGGGGAAUAUUGCACAAUGGGGGAACCCUGAUGCAGCACGCCGCGUGAGCGAUGAAGCCUUCGGGUCGUAAGCUCUGUCCUAGGGAAAAAUUGACGGUACUUAGGAGGAACCCCGGCUACUACUGCCACAGCCCGG
rnacentral:rRNA from 1 species